rnacentral:rRNA from 1 species
GCGGUGGGAUAAGCGUGUGGUGAAAGCCCGGGGCUCAACCCCGGGUCUGCCGUGCGAACUGCUGAGCUGGAGCACUGUAGAGGCAGGUGGAAUUUCGGGUGUAGCGGUGGAAUGCGUAGAUAUCCGAAAGAACACCAGUGGCGAAGGCGGCCUGCUGGGCAGUUGCUGACACUGAGGCGCGACAGCGUGGGGAGCAAACAG